rnacentral:siRNA from 1 species
CAAAGGGCUGAAUCUCAGUGG